AACGAACGCUGGCGGCGCGCCUAACACAUGCAAGUCGAACGAGAAGCUGUAGCAAUACAGUUGUACAGUGGCGAACGGGUGAGGAAUACAUGGGUGACCUACCCUCGAGUGGGGAAUAACCAGCCGAAAGGUUGGCUAAUACCGCGUACGUUUCCCAGUUUACGGAUUGGGAAGGAAAGCGAUGCCGUGGGUAUCGCGCUCAAGGUUGGGCUCAUGUCCUAUCAGCUUGUUGGUGAGGUAACGGCUCACCAAGGCAACGACGGGUAGCUGGUCUGAGAGGACGAUCAGCCACACUGGCACUGCGACACGGGCCAGACUCCUACGGGAGGCAGCAGUGAGGAAUAUUGCGCAAUGGGCGAAAGCCUGACGCAGCGACGCCGCGGUGGGGGA
rnacentral:rRNA from 1 species